CCUACGGGAGACAGCAGUGGGGAAUAUUGCACAAUGGGGGAAACCCUGAUGCAGCGACGCCGCGUGAGUGAAGCAGUAUUUCGGUAUGUAAAGCUCUAUCAGCAGGGAAGAAAUAGCGACCUUUGGUUCGCCAGACGGUACCCGUUUCAGAAGCCCCGGAUAACUACGGGCCAGCAGCCGCGGUAAGACGUAGGGGGCAAGCGUUAUCCGGAUUUACUGGGUGGAAAGGGAGCGUAGACGGCAGCGCAAGUCUGAAGUGAAAUGCCGGGGCUUAACCCCGGAACUGCUUUGGAAACUGUGCGGCUAGAGUGCAGGAGAGGUAAGUGGAAUUCCUGGUGUAGCGGUGAAAUGCGUAGAUAUUAGGAGGAACACCAGUGGCGAAGGCGGCUUACUGGACUGUAACUGACGUUGAGGCUCGAAAGCGUGGGGAGCAAACAGGAUUAGAUACCCCUGUAGUC
rnacentral:rRNA from 1 species